UACGGGGGGAGCAAGCGUUGUUCGGAUUUACUGGGCGUAAAGGGCGCGUAGGCGGCCACCGCAAGUCGACUGUGAAAUCUCCGGGCUUAACCCGGAAAAGGUCAGCCGAUACUGCGGGGCUAGAGUGCAGAAGGGGCAACUGGAAUUCUCGGUGUAGCGGUGAAAUGCGUAGAUAUCGAGAGGAACACCUGCGGCGAAGGCGGGUUGCUGGGCUGACACUGACGUGAGGCGCGAAAGCUAGGGGGAGCGAACGGGG
rnacentral:rRNA from 1 species